CGCACCUUGCGCUCCUUGGUAUUCCGAGGAGCAUGCCUGUUUGAGUGUCGUGAAAUUAUCAACCUAUCUGGCUUUGAUUAGCUAGUUAGGCUUGGAUUAUGGAGGUUGCUGGUUUCCCAGAAAUCAGCUCUUCUUAAAUAUAUUAGCAAAGUCUUCGCUGAAGAUCUCUGGUAUGAUAAUUAUCUAUAUCAUUGAGAAUCAGCUUUCCAUCUCGGAAGGGCUUUGCUUCAAAUAGUCUUUACGGACAACUUGACAAUUUGACCUCAAAUCAGGUAGGACUACCCGCUGAACUUAA
rnacentral:misc_RNA from 1 species